rnacentral:rRNA from 1 species
GUCGAGAAUUUUUCACAAUGGGCGCAAGCCUGAUGGAGCGACGCCGCGUGGGGGAUGAAUGGCUUCGGCCCGUAAACCCCUGUCAUUCGCGAUCAAACGUUGGCAUUUAAAAGAUGCCAGCCUGAUAGUAGCGGAAGAGGAAGGGACGGCUAACUCUGUGCCAGCAGCCGCGGUAAUACAGAGGUCCCGAGCGUUGUUCGGAUUCACUGGGCGUAAAGGGUGCGUAGGUGGUGAGGUAAGUCGGAUGUGAAAGCUCGGAGCUCAACUCCGAAAUGGCAUUGGAAACUACCUUGCUUGAGGAUUGGAAGGGGGACUGGAAUGCUUGGUGUAGCAGUGAAAUGCGUAGAUAUCAAGCGGAACACCAGUGGCGAAGGCGAGUCCCUGGACAACACCUGACACUGAGGCACGAAAGCUAGGGGAGCAAACA